AAAGAAAAUAACAAACUUCACUGAAUACGACAUGUAAGUAGUUUAAAAAUGUUCACCGAUAUUAAAAAGGGAGGGCGAGCGUGGUAGUUCAUGAUUAACUCAUAUCUUCACAUAUUCUUCCCUUUCUCUCGACAUUAGUCUAACCUGUUGAUUAAUAUUAUCAGUCUAGUAUACAUUUUUUUUCGAGCUGUAUUUUAUUUUAUUUGAAGGAACUAGUCCUUAGCUUCAACGUUCGUCUUCCCACCUAAGAUUGUGCCUUUGUAGAGAUGAAGAUCAAAAGAAAGGAAGCACAUUGAGAUCGGGACGAAAACUUAAUACCUAUUGUCUAUUGAAUUUAAGUAAGCAGUGAUUAUGCUUUUAGGGGUUAAACAAACCAAAACCGUUAUCUAAGUUCUUUUAAACUACUAAUUUCAAUACUUGAAGAUUCAAUUCAAAGCGGUAUCGAUUAAUUAAGACAUAUAUUUGUAGUGAAUACAAGUUUAGAAAGACAACACUUUAAAUAGUAAUAUUAUUUAGAGUCGGUUAUAUUAAGCAUCAUUUUUGCUUGCAAUUAUUCUAUAGUUGUUGUAGAGAACUUGUAGGAUUUCAAUUAGUCUGGAUACGUUGUUAUAGAAUUCAAGAGAUUUUUUAGAUAGAGUAAUAUUAAGAUUUUGGUAUUGUUGAAGCUCCAUUAGAUUGAAGGAAUGGAGAAACCUGUCAAGAAGCACUUUAAAAUCUGAAAUGAGGAAGAAAAUUUCCGAUGAUGCAAUUGAGUUAUUUUUAAUAAUUUCAGAAAACCUUUGUGACUCGUAGAAAUCAAUUAAGAAUGAGUUGAUUAACAUAAUGAUUAUUGAAACGUUUUCUUUUUCUUUAUCUAAUAUGACUUUAUCUGCUUUAACCAUUGAGAGUAAGUCGUGUGUACAAUUUAAUUGAACUCUCGAUCCAUAAAUUAGCUGCUGCGAUGACUUUAAUUUUACAUCGUCAAGACCCAUAAUUGAAAUGAAUGGCGAUUGAAUGCAAGAAUUAUUAUCAAUUGCUAUAGACUCGUCAAUACCUGAUGAUAUUACAGAGUCUUUGCUUAAUUUGGAUUUUUGCGAUAACACAUUAUUAUUUGAAAGAGGGAGGUUAAACUCAGUUACAUCAAAUUCAACAUCUGUGCAUGUAACACUCAAGGAGUUUCUCAUAUUUGAGAAAACUAUUUCAUUAAAUUCAUCAAUUUCACGUUGGAUAUAGUCCGGUAGUGAAAGAAGGAGAUGUUGGAUCUUUCCAGAUGAGAUCUUUUGCUUUAAAUUGAGAAAAGAUGAUUUUUCAAUCUGCUUUUUGAUGCUAUAUAUAGAAUUUCUUGUCAUUGGUUUGGUUAAAUAUACGUGAGCCAAUAGUAUUAGAAGUCUUUGAACUGGAUCUUUCUUAAGUAAAUUAGCAAGUUCAUUAUUUGAGCUGCUUUCAAUGUAAUUCUUCUCAUGUUCACUAAAUAGGUAGUUGAAUAAUACUCCUGAGUGGAUUAGUUUGGAAAUAAGAAGAUUUGUACCUUCAUAUUCAAACAUGUGAGACACAAGCCCUGCGUAACCAGUACAUCCACAGUAAUUGUCCAAUACAUGAAAUCUGCGGAGCAGGUCAACAAUAAAUCUGAAUUGUGUUGCUGUAAGCUUUUUGUGGAAAUCGUGAUUAUAGUCAACGGAGUAUAAUGAGUCUCUGUAGAACUUCACAAGCGCUUUAAAGGUAAUUACUGCUCUUUCUUUAGAGAUAUUAUUUUUCGUCUGCUCAUUAAGGACAUUUUCAAACAGCAUAAACGUCCUCAAAACAGUAGUUGGAGUAACAGGGAAGUUACCCUUAAUUGUUGGUAACUCUGCUGUUAAUAACCUAUUUCUUUUUCCGACAGAAAUAUCCCAGAAGAUAACUGAGCCCUGAACAUCGUAUCCUCUUCUUCCUGCUCUUCCAGAUGCUUGGCGAUAAAGAAGUGGAGUCAAUGAAAUUGAGUCAUUUACAAAUACUGUUGUUCUACAUGGCAUAUUUACACCAAGAGCUAACGUUCUUGUGGAAAUAAUUAUACAUAAAUACCCCAUGCGAUAUAGAGUUUCAACUGCUCUUCUGUAUCUUAAACUCAAACCAUCAUGAUGAAUUCCAAUGCCUCUUUUAAGACCUUCAAUGAAAAUGGGAGAAAUCCUGCCUUCACAAGAAUAUAGAGUAUCCUGGAUUUCACGUUCUCUUCCUCCCAUAACUUUUCGGUCACAAAAUGAAAAAUCCGGAUCGUAUUCUUCAGCUAUAUCUCCUGGAGCUUGUAGGUUUUCAAGUGCUUGCAAUUCGCUCUCAUCAAUAACAAUACCCUGUUUCUCUCUUUGCUGGCGACUCAUUGUUUUUAAUUUAAGUAACAUAUCACGUCUUUGAAUAUCUUUAGCAUAUUGUUCUUGUCUACGUUUGUUAAUGGCCUUUGUGGCAUUAGUGGCCUCCUCUGACCCAUAGUAUUUAUCAUGAUGAUCGUUAGUUAGCUUUUCAAUCAAUGAUUUCCCCAAGUGCUCAACAACACUCCUCUCCAUGUUGAAAAUAAUACAUGGUAGCAUAUUUUCUUGUUGAAGGUUCCUGACCAAUCUUAAGAAUGUUUCAGCAGUUUUGUAUGCUGAAGUUGGCCUUGCGGGGGUAAUGAUUGCAUUCCUAGCCUGAGAUAUUGAGCUAGCCAAACUUCCUAUUUCUGUAGCAUCUUCGUCAUUUGAGUUAGUAAUUCCACUUAAUAGGCUCUUAAUAUUCUCUACUCCCAUAAUAAUUUUAUAUAGAUUAGAAUCAUUUUUCUUGGAUAGCUCAACCAUUUGCCUUUGAAAUCUUAUACUAGGAUUUAAAAGUAAAUUUCCUGUUAUAUUUAGC
rnacentral:antisense_RNA from 1 species